rnacentral:lncRNA from 1 species
UAGUACGAGUGUAGUAUGAUUCUUGAUUGCUGAUGUAAGUCUGAAGUAUGCCAGAUGUUUCUCUGCUGAAUAUUUUGCUUGCACUAUCUAGUUUACCAGUCUCUCAAUGAAACUCGGUAGGAGUUGUUCAUUCCGUAGAAUCAUGCAUCUUCCUUUUCUCUCUUGUUACCUUUAUGAAGUGAGAGAGAGAGAGAUCCUUUUCUGGAGAGUGUUUUAUUCUUAUCUGUCCUUGUUUCUCUAAUGCGGCAUCUCUGUAGUGUAAUUCUGUGAUAAGAGUCUUACACAGGAAAAAAAAAAGCAAUCAAUAUAAACACCAAAUCCUGCUGAAGUGGAAGAUGUGUUUCCUUCUCAAAGGUACUUCUGUUGCAAUUUUGUUUUAAUUUCCUUUGAAGAACAUAUCAGUGCUUGAAUUUUUUGUCCAGGAUGAGAACUAGAUUCUUCAAGAGGGUGAAAAGUAUUUGAACUACUUUUUACUAGAGAUCAGGAAAUAAGGAUUAGUAAUUAUCACAUUGUAGCUGCCAAAAUCUUGAUCAGAGCCACAUCUGUAACUUACACCAAAUGCCCUGUUUUUUUUAUGUCUUUUAAGAUUUAUGCAUGUUGUUUGGGGUUUACGCAGCUCCUGGAAACUCUUGCGCAGAGCUGGCUCAGUUUCUCAUUUUGUAGAAAACUUCCUAGUGAGUUGUUUUGGGUGUUACAUGCAAAGAUGGAAGUGCAAAAGUAUCAGGCAACUCUUUAUUCCACCAUAUGAGAUUAAUUCGGCUUAUGCGACUUAAACCCACCAUAGUUCCUACAGGUGAAAACUAGGGAACCCUUCCCAUUGAGAAUAUGUUGGGAUUGAGAUUUACUUGUUAAAGGACACAAUGAUUUCAUAGAGCCAUGAAUUAAACUUUGUUUGACAUCAAAACCCCUUUUACCAAUCUCUUAACUGCACUUUGUUUGACACGAAACUGCAUAUAUUAUAUCUGAAACAAACUGUCUGAUAUCACUCUGCUUCAAAGGUGUAAGAUUAGUUGGUGGAUAAACAACAGAUGGAGAUGAGUAAUCUUUUCAAGGGAGCCCCCAGAAAAAGCUGUGGAGGACACACUCAGGACCAUAGUGAAAUCAAUGGUAAAUUAAGUUCUUGUGGUCAUACUUAGCUUACGUGUUGAGUUGAGCUCUCAUUUUUUAAGAUUGUAACCUCUCUCUAUCUAUGCUUAACUAGAUUCAAAGGUCGGUCUUUGUUAAUUAAUAUAAAGCCGCAUAUAUCAUUCUGUUUAUUUCUUCUCGUUGCCUCAUUACAACAUAACAUGUGUGAAGAGUUUACAAAUACCAAGAAUGUUUUGAUAUAAGAACUAACUGACUUACAAAUAUGAAGAAGUUCGACUACUGUC